GACGUAGGAGGCGAGCGUUGUCCGGAUUCAUUGGGCGUAAAGAGCACGCAGGCGGUUUGGCAAGUCGGAUGUGAAAACCCGAAGCUCAACUUCGGGCCUGCAUCCGAAACUGCCCGACUAGAGGUAGGUAGGGGAGAUCGGAAUUCCUGGUGUAGCGGUGAAAUGCGCAGAUAUCAGGAGGAACACCGGUGGCGAAGGCAGCUCGCUGGGACGUUACUGACACUGAGGCGCGAAAGCGUGGGGAGCGAACAGG
rnacentral:rRNA from 1 species